rnacentral:rRNA from 1 species
AACGAACGCUGGCGGCAUGCCUAACACAUGCAAGUCGAACGAGACCUUCGGGUCUAGUGGCGCACGGGUGCGUAACGCGUGGGAACCUGCCCUUAGGUUCGGAAUAACUCCCCGAAAGGGGUGCUAAUACCGGAUAAUGUCUUCGGACCAAAGAUUUAUCGCCUUUGGAUGGGCCCGCGUUGGAUUAGCUAGUUGGUAGGGUAAAAGCCUACCAAGGCGACGAUCCAUAGCUGGUCUGAGAGGAUGAUCAGCCACACUGGGACUGAGACACGGCCCAGACUCCUACGGGAGGCAGCAGUGGAGAAUAUUGGACAAUGGGCGAAAGCCUGAUACAGCAAUGCCGCGUGAGUGAUGAAGGCCUUAGGGUUGUAAAGCUCUUUUACCCGGGAUGAUAAUGACAGUACCGGGAGAAUAAGCUCCGGCUAACUCCGUG